ACCCGCUGAAUUUAAGCAUAUCAAUAAGCGGAGGAAAGGAAACUAACCAGGAUUCCCCCAGUAGCGGCGAGUGAAGCGGGAAGAGCCCAAGCCUGUAAUCUCCGGUGCGUUGUGCCGGCGAAUUGUAGUCUGAAGACGGGUCUUCUUGUCGGCGGAGCCUCCCGAAGUCGUCGUGGAAAGGCGCGCCUGAGAGGGUGAGAGCCCCGUGCGUGGGGACGCACCGCCGGUCAUGGCGAGGCCCGGUCGCAGAGUCGGGUUGUUUGGGAAUGCAGCCCCAAGCGGGUGGUAAACUCCAUCCCAGGCUAAGUAUUUGCACGAGACCGAUAGCGAACAAGUACCGUGAGGGAAAGAUGAAAAGCACUUUGAAAAGAGAGUCAAAUAGUGCGUGAACCCGUUAGGAGGGAAGCGCAU
rnacentral:rRNA from 1 species